ensembl:piRNA 21ur-1454 ncRNA
UGACACAUCGGUUUAAUGAGA